rnacentral:rRNA from 1 species
GACGAACCGUGCGAACGUUGUUCGGAAUCACUGGGCUUAAAGGGCGCGUAGGCGGUUUACCAAGUCGGGGGUGAAAUCUUUCGGCUCAACCGGAAAAGGGCCUUCGAUACUGGUAGACUUGAGUGAGGUAGGGGCGGAUGGAACUUCCGGUGGAGCGGUGAAAUGUGUUGAUAUCGGAAGGAACGCCGGUGGCGAAAGCGAUCCGCUGGACCUCUUCUGACGCUGAUGCGCGAAAGCCAGGGGAGCAAAC